rnacentral:ncRNA from 1 species
GUGAAGUCGUAAAUUUGUUGCGACUUCUAGCGAGUAAUUGCUAGAAUAAAAGUUGGCUGUAUGCUGGAAACCCUGUGUAUCUUGGACUACUUAUGUUAUAAUUAAGUAAUAUGAGUGAUAAUGUUUCAAGUGUUUUGCCAUCAAUUGAGAAAUUGUUGGUAAUAACAGACAAUCAGCAGGGAAGUCUUCGUGACCCCUCAGAGACUACACGCCGAACCCCUCUGUUGUACAGAGGGUGAUGAUAUAGUCCAUGCCUUAUGGCGACAUAGGG